rnacentral:misc_RNA from 1 species
GAUGAAGAACGUAGUGAAAUGUGAUACUUGGUGUGAAUUGCAGAAUCCCGUGAACCAUCGAGUCUUUGAACGCAAGUUGCGCCCGAAGCCAUUAGGCCGAGGGCACGCCUGCCUGGGCGUCACACGUCGUUGCCCCCCCAUCUACUCCUUCGGGAUUGCGGGGGGCGGAUGAUGGCCUCUCGUGCGCCUCGUCGCGCGGUUGGCCUAAAUGCCAAGUCCUCGGCGACGCACGCCACGACAAUCGGUGGUUGCGAAACCUCGGUUGCCUGUCGUGUGCGGUCGUCGCGCAUCGAGGGCUCGAAAAAAUUGCCGGGCUUCGGCUCGACUUUCAACGCGACCCCAGGUCAGGCGGGGUUACCCGCUGAAUUUAAGCAUAUCAAUAAGCGGAGGA